rnacentral:rRNA from 1 species
UACGUAGGGUGCAAGCGUUGUUCGGAUUUACUGGGCGUAAAGGGCGGGUAGGCGGCCACCGCAAGUCGACUGUGAAAUCUCCGGGCUUAACCCGGAAAGGUCAGCCGAUACUGCGGGGCUAGAGUGCAGAAGGGGCAACUGGAAUUCUCGGUGUAGCGGUGAAAUGCGUAGAUAUCGAGAGGAACACCUGCGGCGAAGGCGGGUUGCUGGGCUGACACUGACGCUGAACUGCGAAAGCUAGGGGAGCGAACGGG